rnacentral:misc_RNA from 1 species
CUGAGUUCGUGCCCUAACGGGUAGAUCUCCACCCUUGAAUACAAACUCUUGUUGCUUUGGCGGGCCGCUUCGGCUACUGGCUUCGGCUGGUGAGUGCCCGCCAGAGAACCCUAAACUUUGAAUUACAGUGUCGUCUGAGUACUAUAUAAUAGUUA